CAGCCCCGCGGACCCCGCCUUCCCUCCCUCCCUCCGCGCCCGCCGGGGGAGGGAAACUUUGCCUCUUCGCUGGCCGUGGCCUGCUCUCCCUCGCCUGCCACUGUGGACCUGGGGACAGAUACGCUUCACGGUGACCGUGAAGGAAGCACCCUCCACCCCAGCCGGUGAAGGACACCGGGAGCACGGCCUCCAGGCUGCCGAGGUUGUUUGGAGGUGUUGCCGGGACAAUGAAUGUGCGCGUGUUGGCGAUGUAUGGACUGCUGGGUAGGGAGCGCGGUGGAGGAGGGCUGCUGGGUAUCUAGGGUUCUCGGCUUGCCCUGCCUGGCUCCUCCCUUCUGCUCCAGGUUUUGUAUUUUGACCUCCCCUGUUCCUGUGUUGGAAAGAGACAAGAUAACCAGCCCGACCUCAAACCCAUGAAGAUUUAAUAACUGUACUUCUUUACCCCUGGGCUGACGAUGGUUUGUGUUCUGGCCUCGAUUUGUGGACCAUCCAGAAGAGGCCUGUUAGUCCCGGUCCUCGUAGUAUUGCGUGUGCCUAGUGUGUCCCUGCCUUGCUACCAGUCGUGGGCAGGAAAGGGGCCAUCAGAAAAAAAGCCUGCGCUGUGGGAGAACUCACGCUGCUGGUUUCCAACAGUCAAGACUCACUCUGCAGGCUAGCACUACUGAGCCCAGUCGGCAGGGGGUGCCGGACAGGCCAGCUGCUGCCCUCUAUGAGAGCUUCUUAAAGAUUAUCCCAAGGACACUCGACCUAGAAAGCCCCAGGCCUCAAAGGAUCAAAAGAGUCAUAAAAACCUAGAUCCACUUCACAGAGGACGAAAAGACCCCGGAUAAGUAUUCCUCUCCAGGUCUUGGAACUACUGCUUUUCCCAUUACUAAAGGGGCCAGUUUGCUAAGACCUCUGCCCCAUGUUACCCCACCAUCCUAUGCUGACUCAUGUCUGGCUUCAAUCAGACCCUUGGGAAGAACCUCCAGUCUGGUGGCCAAUCGGGGUCUUACCUUACCACAACCAGGAACUGUUCUUGCUGUUUUCAGUCAAACAGAGCCGACACUGCUGACCUCAGUUGCUGACCAGAUGUCAUGAGCCAAUCACAAAAUGAUUCCUGUUCCAGUAAAUAAUCUAUACCUAAUCACUUCAAAGUACACUUAACCUCAGCUGGAAUUCCUCUAAUCCUGCUUAAAAGAAGCCUUGAAGCUUUGCCUGGGGUCAUCAUUUGCCACUGUGUCAGAUGGUUGAGCCCUGCAUGCUGGAAUUUUUUUUAUUAAACGCUCUUAACUGUUUGCAUACAUGUCUGGUGGUCUUUUAUGGGACUUGUCAUGGACCCAAACUGUAGCAGCAGUAAUAAAUGUAUUCUAGUCUAUUCUGCCUGUUUGAAACAUCUAACAUAGUUCUUGUUUGUCCUCCUUA